rnacentral:rRNA from 1 species
AAGUUGUUGCGGUUAAAAAGCUAGUAGUUGGAUCUCAGUUCCAGACGGGCGGUCCGCCUACCGGCGGUCACUGCCCCGUUCUGAACAGCCAGGCGUCUAGCUUCGAUGAUCUUCGUCGGUUGUCGUUGUUGGACGCCGAGUUUACUUUGAAAAAAUUAGAGUGCUCAAAGCAGGCGUGACGCCKGGAUAAUGGUGCAUGGAAUAAUGGAAUAGGACCUCGGUUCUAUUGUGUUGGUUUUCGGAACACGAGGUAAUGAUUAAGAGGGACAGACGGGGGCAUUCGUAUUGCGACGCUAGAGGUGAAAUUCUUGGACCGUCGCAGGACGAACUACUGCGAAAGCAUUUGCCAAGAAUGUUUCCAUUAAUCAAGAACGAAAGUUAGAGGUUCGAAGGCGAUCAGAUACCGCCCUAGUUCUAACCAUAAACGAUGCCAGCCAGCGAUCCGGCUGUGUUCCUCAAAUGACACGCCGGGCAGCUUCCGGGAAACCAAAGCUUUUGGGUUCCGGGGGAAGUAUGGUUGCAAAGCUAAAACUUAAAGGAAUUGACGGAAGCGCACAACCAGGAAUGGGUAAUGCGGCUUAAUUUGACUCAACACGGGAAACCUUACCCAGCCCGGACCCAGGAAGGAUUGACAGAUUAAGAGCUCUUUCUUGAUUCUGGGGAUGGUGGUGCAUGGCCGUUCUUAGUUGGUGGUGUGAAUUGUCUGCUUUAUUGCGMUAACGAACGAGACCCUAGCCUACUAAAUAGACGAUUUCCGAUCCUUCGGAGUCGGACGUUCUUCUUAGAGGGACUGGCGGCGUUUAGC